rnacentral:rRNA from 1 species
UACAGAGGUCCCAAGCGUUGUUCGGAUUCACUGGGCGUAAAGGGUGCGUAGGUGGCAUGGUAAGUCGGAUGUGAAAUCCCGGGGCUCAACCCCGGAACUGCAUUCGAUACUGCUGCGCUAGAGUACUGGAGAGGAGAUUGGAAUUUACGGUGUAGCAGUGAAAUGCGUAGAUAUCGUAAGGAAGACCAGUGGCGAAGGCGGAUCUCUGGACAGUUACUGACACUGAGGCACGAAGGCCAGGGGAGCAAACGGG